rnacentral:lncRNA from 1 species
CCCGGUUUAGUGUUUGGAAAAAUGAGCUAGGGUUUGGAUCUAUGAAAAUUGGGGUGAAACAAAAUCAAGUGAGACUUGCAAAGUUGCCCUGGUCAUGGGAUUAUGAAUUGAUGAAAAAUUUGUGUGAGACUCACAAAGUUGCCCCAGUUUUCUUUGGCCUGGGGUUCUAUUUGGAAGAGGUAGUGGCAUGACAAGGAUCGGCCAAAAGGAUGGUCCCAACUGGUUUGAUUUUCUUUUGCAUGCUUCUGGCUAGGUUACAGGGAGAUCCCCUCUUCUUGAGACAUUACCUUUUUCUUUUUUUUUUUAUAUUCAUUCGUUUUCAACUUUUUUUCUUUUUUUUUUCUUUACGACAUAUUGAAAGUCAUUUUGUCUUAUCGCAAAAUUAAGCUUUAUAAAAAUUUGAGCAAUCAUUAUUCAAUCUGUGUGGACUUUAUUAGGCUUGUAAUGUGGCUAGGGGCUAAAAGGUAUUUUAAAACAGGAUAUAAAGGCCCAAAUGAAUGUUUGUUGGUUAUAUUUGUUUGAAACAAGGGUUAUCAUCUAGGCAUUGUUUCAACUAAUUGACUUUUUGAGCACUUUGCUUUAGCCUUGAACUUUGGUUUUCAUUUUUUUUCAUCAUCACUUUGUGAUUUUUUUUGUUUUGUUUUUUUUUUUUGUUCAUUCUUCUUGAUGAGUUCUCUCCGUUUGAUCAUUGAGUGCUUUUCAUUUGCAUCAAGGGUUGACUCCUACCUGAUGAUAACCUUUGCUCUGGGAUAACUUUGAAAAAAAUUUUAUUUUAGGCUCAAACGGGGUGACAAUGGAUAUAAUUUUUGCUUUUUAGAUAAAGAAAGAAGGUCACACAUCAUUUCAAAUUUUGAUUGCUUUAUUUUCAAAAGAUUAGUUCUACGACUAGACGACCUCAACAUAAGUCGUUUUUUUUCUCCCUUUCUAAACCACCCUUUCGGGUUUUCAAUCUAGUGGACUUAUUCUUUUUUUGAAAGUUC